CCUACGGGAGGCAGCAGUGGGGAAUUUUGGACAAUGGGCGCAAGCCUGAUCCAGCAAUGCCGCGUGAGUGAAGAAGGCCUUCGGGUUGUAAAGCUCUUUUGUCAGGGAAGAAACGGUCUACUCUAAUACAGUGGGCUAAUGACGGUACCUGAAGAAUAAGCACCGACUAACUACGUGCCAGCAGCCGCGGUAAUACGUAGGGUGCAAGCGUUAAUCGGAAUUACUGGGCGUAAAGCGUGCGCAGGCGGUUAUAUAAGUCAGAUGUGAAAUCCCCGGGCUCAACCUGGGAACUGCAUUUGAGACUGUAUGGCUAGAGUGUGUCAGAGGGGGGUAGAAUUCCACGUGUAGCAGUGAAAUGCGUAGAUAUGUGGAGGAAUACCGAUGGCGAAGGCAGCCCCCUGGGAUAACACUGACGCUCAUGCACGAAAGCGUGGGGAGCAAACAGGAUUAGAUACCCUGGUAGUCCACGCCCUAAACGAUGUCUACUAGUUGUCGGGACUUAAUUGUCUUGGUAACGCAGCUAACGCGUGAAGUAGACCGCCUGGGGAGUCGGUCGCAGNUUAAAACCGNGAAGAUUGACGNNGAGAGNGCGACGACGACGACGAGGGAGGAGG
rnacentral:rRNA from 1 species